rnacentral:rRNA from 1 species
UGCGUAGGCGGGAGAUUAAGUCAGUGGUGAAAUCCUGCAGCUUAACUGUAGAACUGCCAUUGAUACUGGUUUUCUUGAGUGUAGUUGAAGUGGGCGGAAUGUGUAUUGUAGCGGUGAAAUGCUUAGAUAUUACACAGAACACCUAUUGCGAAGGCAGCUCACUAAACUAAUACUGACGCUGAGGCACGAAAGCGUGGGGAGCAAACAGGAUUAGAUACCCUGGUAGUCC